UUAUACUCAUUCAAAAUAAAAUCUCAUUAAAAUAUAUAGAAAAAACACACAAGUUUUUAGACAUUUGAAAAUUUCAAGGACAUCAAUACAUAAUUUCUCGUGAUAAAAACUUCACUUCUGUACAAAACAUCAAACCUCGAUCCUCAGGCCCACCACUAAAUGAUUCCUUUCCCAAACCACUUUAUCAAAGAAAACCACUUCCUGUUUUACAAAAACCACAAGCACUUUUCUCUCUAUAAAGCCUCACACCCAGCCCUCCCUUCAAGCACUCAAGCAAGCUUAAAAUUCCUCCCACCGUAAUUUUUUCUGCCGAUAAAUCGGAAACGCCUGGAAAAUGAGUUAUUUGAACAGAGUUUGGGUGGCAGCUACCGUGGCUGCAGUUAGGCACCCUGAUCAAGGGUGGAAAUCCAACUUAAAAUCACUGCAACAAGGUAAGAUGAGGGGCUUCUCCCGAGGAGAAGCCACGGAGAUCCGGCCACUUGCUGGUUCAGUUGAAUCGGAUUGUGGUGGAGUUUUUGGGAGUUGUGGAUUAGAAGGAGGAGUGAGGCAAAAUGAUGAUUCUCUUCGACGAGUUAUGUACUUAAAUUGCUGGGGUCAGGGGUGAGGAGAUAGCAAGGAGACUCAUGUUUAAGAGAGAGGAUGAUUGACUCGGUGGUGAGAGCGAGUUUUGACUCGUUGAGUUGUGAAGUAUUUUAAGAGGAGAUUGAAUUGACUGGGCGAGUUGGAGUGUAAUUGUGAAAUUUUAUCCAGGAUGACAGAGAUAGAUUAAUGUGACUUUGUUAAGAAAAAAAUUGUACAGAGCAAGAUUUUGUGUUUUUAAUGAAUAUAUAUUUUAUUUACUCUAUUUUAAUUUUAAUUAAUAUAAUGGAUAAAAUAUAUUACUAUUUGGGAUAUUUUGUAUCUCAAAAAGACAUCUCACAGUAAUUAUGUUUUGAUUAACAUUCUUUAAUAGAAAAAUAAUCUAAUGAUUCAAUUCUAUCUUGAAAAUAUUCUCUUAAACUUAAUAAAUAAGCAACUACCUAGUCUAACAAAUUUAAAUUUAAAUUUAGCCACUUAAUUAUAACAAAUUAAAUUUAGCCACUUAAAUCAAAAUAAAUUUCAUGAUGAAAAUAAAAUUCAGGUGUUUGAAACAUAUAAAUAUAUACAAUUAAUUGGAAAUAAGAAUAAUAUUUUUGUAUAAUUUAUAAUUUGAAACAGAAACUAAUUGCUAAAAAAUGGUUGACUAUAAUUAUAAUAUUUUCUGAUUGCUGCUGCAACUGAUUAUUAUUGAAAAAUUCUAAUAGAAUCUGGCUUGUCUUUUGAUUAGUCCUUCAUAUUUACUGAGCAUCUAAUUUGAUCCUUGUCAACAAAUUUCUUGGAAUUCAGUCCAAUUACGCAUGAUGAAUUAAGAAAAUAUUUAUUUUAAGUCUGGGAGCAGUCAGUAUUAUUGUGGCAACAUGGAGGCAAGGUUGCUGCUCAUGUGGACACUGAGUAUCAUUGGCCGAAGACUGGAGCCUGCUGUGUGUUGCAGACUCGCAGCUGAUACUUCCUUUUCUGGGUUCUUUUUGCUGCUGUGAUAUGAACUGAUACGUCAAGGAAAAGUAGCUCCAUUUUCUUCCAAUUUUAACUCAUCAUUUUGCUUGAAAGGGAAUACAAUUCACUGUGUAUUUCUUUCUUACAA